UAUCCGAGACCUCAAAGGCUCUUGACGCUCUUCGGAGUAGAUGGAGAAUCCAUGAUACUAUCGAGCCAAGAAAAGUUUCUAAGUUUAGUAAUAAUUGCCCGUACCGUAAACCGACACAGGUGGGUGGGAUGAGUAUUCUAAGGCGCGUGGAAGAACUCUCUUUAAGGAACUCUGCAAAAUAGCACCGUAUCUUCGGUAUAAGGUGUGCCUAACUUUGUAUUAAGAUUUACUCCCAAAGCAAAGAAGGUUACAACAAAGAGUCCCUCCCGACUGUUUACCAUAAACACAGCACUCUGCUAACUCGUAAGAGGAUGUAUAGGGUGUGACGCCUGCCCGGUGCUCGAAGGUUAAUUGAUGGGGUUAGCAUUAGCGAAGCUCUUGAUCGAAGCCCGAGUAAACGGCGGCCGUAACUAUAACGGUCCUAAGGUAGCGAAAUUCCUUGUCGGUUAAAUACCGACCUGCAUGAAUGGCGUAACGAGAUGGGAGCUGUCUCAAAGAGGGAUCCAGUGAAAUUGUAGUGGAGGUGAAAAUUCCUCCUACCCGCGGCAAGACGGAAAGACCCCGUGGACCUUUACUACAGCUUGACACUGCUAUUUGGAUAAAGAUGCGCAGGAUAGGUGGGAGGCUUUGAUCCAUAGACUCUGGUUUAUGGUGAGCCAUUGUUGAGAUACCACUCUUCUUUAUUUGGGUAGCUAACUAGCCUAAGUUAUCCUUAGGUAGGACAAUGUCUGGUGGGUAGUUUGACUGGGGCGGUCGCCUCCCAAAGUGUAACGGAGGCUUACAAAGGUUGGCUCAGAACGGUUGGAAAUCGUUCGUAGAGUAUAAAGGCAUAAGCCAGCUUAACUGCGAGACGUACAUGUCAAGCAGAGACGAAAGUCGGUCUUAGUGAUCCGGUGGUUCUGUGUGGAAGGGCCAUCGCUCAAAGGAUAAAAGGUACCCCGGGGAUAACAGGCUGAUCUCCCCCAAGAGCUCACAUCGACGGGGAGGUUUGGCACCUCGAUGUCGGCUCAUCGCAUCCUGGGGCUGGAGCAGGUCCCAAGGGUAUGGCUGUUCGCCAUUUAAAGCGGUACGCGAGCUGGGUUCAGAACGUCGUGAGACAGUUCGGUCCCUAUCUGCCGUGGGCGUAAGAAGAUUGAGGAGAGUUGACCCUAGUACGAGAGGACCGGGUUGAACCAGCCACUGGUGUAUCAGUUGUUCUGCCAAGAGCAUCGCUGAGUAGCUAAGCUGGGAUGUGAUAAGAGCUGAAAGCAUCUAAGCUCGAAGCCAACUCCAAGAUGAAUCUUCUUUUAAGAGCUCUAGUAGACUACUAGUUUGAUAGGCUGGGUGUGUAAUGGAUGAGAGUCCUUUAGCUGACCAGUACUAAUAGCUCGUUUGCUUAUCUUA
rnacentral:rRNA from 1 species